CGGACCGAGUGCGCGAGCGGACAUGACGUGUGGCUGUCGUAAAAACCCUAUUUGUAAACAACCAGCCCUUUAACUCGGGGCUGCGUCAUAAACACGGCGCGCUUGGAAGACCACGAUGUCAUCUUCCUUCUGUCAGGAGGAUCCAAGUGAAGCUACAGGAGUUUCAUUAACGUCAACAACUUGGACCAAACAGUUUGUUUUGCUUGAUGAAGAGCAGGAAGGGCAGCCUGGAGAGAAAGAGAAGCCGGGUUGAGCCCACUACCAUCAUCCACGUACCACGAGGAAGAUGAGGGAGAGAAAUGAUCCUACCAUUAAAGAGACUGUGAAAAGAACGUUGAGAACAUCACCACUCUACAGGAAGACACAGUCCAGUAAUGGGUGUCAGAAGUUCAGUAGUGAACGACAGAAACAAACAAUCCAAAUUACCUGCAGAAAGCCCUUGAUGGACGCUUCAGCUGCAUCGUCAGACUGGCAGUACUGAUGCAUUUACUGAGAGGGGACGUGAGGGCCUACUCUGCGUGCUCAGAGUUCAAGCCCAGCAGGCUGCAGCGGUCCUGACAUAUUCUGGAACAGCAGCACAGUCUUUGGAUGACUCCUCUGAAGAUGAAAACAUGGCGAGUUCUUCUCAAGAGAAGCAGUACAGGUGUGCCUCAGCUCCACGGUCCCUCCUGCAGCCUCCGCUCCUGAUGCUAACCUCAUGUCUCCAUCACACCAAGCAGCAGACCUGGAUUGACAGACCUUUCUCCAGAGCUGCCCCCUCCCUCUGAAACCCCCCUCUCCAAAACACUAUUUGUGUAGUUUUUACAGUAUUUUUUGCAUGAGAAUUGUUGAUCAUAACAUUUCCAGCAGAUGCCUUAAUAUAAUGUUUGU